GAUGAACGCUGGCGGCGUGCCUAAUACAUGCAAGUCGAGCGACCAGACGAUGAGAUCUCUCUCCUGACGUUAGCGACUGACGGAUGAGUAACACGUACAUCACCUACCAAUAAUUCUGGGAUGAUUUCGGAAAGCCGGUGCCGCUACUGGCUAAUACAUCGUACCGCAUGGAUCAAUAGUGCUUCACACCUUUCCUGUUAGUAUUAGCCGAUUCCGCGCCGCAUUAGCUAGUUGGUAAGGUAACGGCAUACCAAGGCGACGAUGCGUAGCUGACCUGAGAGGAUGAUCGGCCACACUGGAACUGAGACACGGUCCAGACUCCUACGGGAGGCAGCAGUGGGGAAUAUUCGGCAAUGGGCGAAAGCCUGAUGGAGCAACGCCGCGUGAGUGAUGAAGGUCUUCGGGUUGUAAAGCCCUUUUGUUAGGGAAGAACAAAAGUAUAAUUAACUAUGCACGUCUUGACGGUACCUAAUCAAUAAGCAACGGCUAACUUCGUG
rnacentral:rRNA from 1 species